AGCAGCCGCGGUAAUUCCAGCUCCAAUAGCGUAUAUUAAAGUUGUUGCAGUUAAAAAGCUCGUAGUUGAAUUUCGGGAUCAGUACGCUGGUCGUGCCUUUGGUAUGUACUGGUGUCACUGAUUCCUCCCUUCUGAAGAACCGUUAUGCCAUUUAUUUGGUGUGGCGGGAGAUCAGGACUGUUACUUUGAAAAAUUAGAGUGUUUAAAGCAGGCUCGCGCUUGAAUACAUUAGCAUGGAAUAAUGAAAUAGGACGUUUGAUCUUAUUUUGUUGGUUUCUAGGAUCGACGUAAUGAUUAAUAGGGAUAGUUGGGGGCAUUAGUAUUCAAUUGUCAGAGGUGAAAUUCUUGGAUUUAUUGAAGACUAACUACUGCGAAAGCAUUUGCCAAGGAUGUUUUCAUUAAUCAAGAACGAAAGUUAGGGGAUCGAAGACGAUCAGAUACCGUCGUAGU
rnacentral:rRNA from 1 species